rnacentral:rRNA from 1 species
UGUGACGAGUUUGAUCCUGGCUCAGGAUGAACGCUGGCGGCGUGCCUAAUACAUGCAAGUCGAACGGGAAACUUUUUUCGAAAGUUGAGAGUGGCGCACGGGUGAGUAACACGUAGCUAAUCUGCCCUCAAGAGCGGGAUAACGCGCCGAAAGGUGUGCUAAUACCGCAUAAGCUCACGGACUGUAGAGGUCUAUGAGAAAAGCUCAGGCGCUUGAGGAGGAGGCUGCGGCCCAUCAGCUAGUUGGUGAGGUAAUGGCUUACCAAGGCGACGACGGGUAGGGGACCUGAGAGGGUGACCCCCCACACUGGGACUGAGACACGGCCCAGACUCCUACGGGAGGCAGCAGUAAGGAAUAUUGCUCAAUGGGCGCAAGCCUGAAGCAGCGACGCCGCGUGGGUGAUGAAGGUUUUCGGAUCGUAAAGCCCUUUUUCUGCGUGACGAGGAAGGACGGUAGCGCAGGAAUAAGUCUCGGCUAACUACGUG